CAGUCGCCGCGGUAAUACGUAGGGUGCGAGCGUUAAUCGGAAUUACUGGGCGUAAAGCGUGCGCUGGCGGUUGUGUAAGACAGGUGUGAAAUCCCCGGGCUUAGCCUGGGAACUGCGCUUGUGACUGCACAGCUAGAGUAUGGCAGAGGGGGGUGGAAUUCCACGUGUAGCAGUGAAAUGCGUAGAGAUGUGGAGGAACACCGAUGGCGAAGGCAGCCCCCUGGGCCAAUACUGACGCUCAUGCACGAAAGCGUGGGGAGCAAACAGGAUUAGAUACCCCUGUAGUCCCUGUCUCUUAUAC
rnacentral:rRNA from 1 species